AUGAUAAACAACCACAAAAAUACCCAUGUAAUCUCACCUCUCAAACUCACAUUUCUAUUCAAACUCAUCUCUCUUGUUCACGCUAAAAAUUUUUACAGUUCCGCAAAUUCUCUUCCAUUCUCGAUCCUUAUGCGAUAUCCAUGGCGGAACAAAUAUCUCCACCUCCCUCAAACCUUGUUCCCUCAAUCUAUCAUCUCAACUCCAUUCCUGUCAACCUCAAUUCAAAGGAAGCGCAAACGCAAAAGAGAAUUUCAAAUCACGGUGGAGAAAUGA